AUGAAAAGAACUUUGAAAAGAGAGUUAAAGAGUACCUGAAAUUGCUGAAAUGGAAGCAAAGGAAACCAGUGUUAUCUUGGCUCAUUUUUCUCCUGCUGCUUGCAACAGGGGCGCUGUGAGUCAAAAUAGGCCAGUAUGAAUUUGGAUCGGAACAAAAGCAAUGCUGUUCUGGUCUGGAUUGAGGUUAGCUCGUGUGAUGCUGGCGAAAUGGUUUUCUUUACCCCGUCUUGAAACACGGACCAAGGAGUCUAACAUAUGUGCGAGUAUAGGAGUGACAAACUCCCAUGCGUAAUGAAAGUAACAGUGGUAUUCAAUAUCCGCCGGCCACAAUCCUUCGGGAGAAAGGUCUGAGUGUGAGCAUACAUGUUGGGACCCGAAAGAUGGUGAACUAUGCCUGAAUAGGGUGAAGCCAGGGGAAACUCUGGUGGAGGCUCGUAUGCGGUUCUGACGUGCAAAUCGAUCGUCAAAUUUGGGUAUAGGGGCGAAAGACUAAUCGAACCAUCUAGUAGCUGGUUCCCUCCGAAAUUUCCCUCAGGAUAGCUGCAAUCAAUAGUAUCUUUAUCA
rnacentral:rRNA from 1 species